rnacentral:rRNA from 1 species
GACGAACCGUGCGAACGUUGUUCAGAAUCACUGGGCUUAAAGGGCGCGUAGGCGGCCCGCCGCGUCCGGGGUGAAAUCCUCCCGCUCAACGGGAGAACGGCCUCGGAUACGGGCGGGCUGGAGGGGGGUAGGGGCGGGGCGGGAACUGUGGGUGGAGCGGUGGAAAUGCGUUGAGAUCCACAGGAACUCCGGUGGCGAAGGCGGCCCGCUGGACCCCAUCUGACGCUGAGGCGCGAAAGCCAGGGGAGCGAACGGG